rnacentral:rRNA from 1 species
UACAGAGGGGGCAAGCGUUGUUCGGAAUUACUGGGCGUAAAGGGCGCGUAGGCGGCCUGUUAAGUCGAACGUGAAAUCCCCGGGCUCAACCCGGGAACUGCGUCCGAUACUGGCAGGCUUGAAUCCGGGAGAGGGAUGCGGAAUUCCAGGUGUAGCGGUGAAAUGCGUAGAUAUCUGGAGGAACACCGGUGGCGAAGGCGGUUCUCUGGGCAUUACCUGACGCUGAGGCACGAAAGCGUGGGGAGCAAACAGG